GGCCGGGCUGGUGCUGGUUCUGCUGGCGCCGGCGCUGCUGCUGCCGCCGGUGCGGCGCCGGUUGCGGACGACCGGCCAGGUCCC
rnacentral:tRNA from 1 species